ACUGGCAAGUAGUUUGACAUUUUCAAUAAGAGGCCGUUAGAAAAAAGCUGAAGCUUUGUCAGGCCUGCAGGAAGGGAGGAAGUCAGUCAGAUAUCGACCAAGCAGGCACUCUAGGUGGAGACCCAGGCCAACAGGAUGGAAGAAAGGCGUCAGGACAGGAGCUGGACAAAGCUAUCGUAGCCAGGUCUGGGCUCCCGGCUUCCAUCCUUGUCCUGUGCGUUCCCUUCUGUCCAUAUUCCCUCUUGCUCUGGUCAUCUGAGUAGUAAGUGUGACCUUUGGAGCCACAGGGAGCAGAUGGAGGAGCUACGGCUGUCAUUCUAGCAAAGUGAAGGCAGGAUCUCGAGGAAGCUGGCUGCCACCCUGUGCCAUGCCCCUUCCGUAGACCGGCACAUGCCUCACUUCUCCGGGGAUUCUCGGGGCGAUUAAACAGAGCACAGCUUGGAAGAUUUUUGUAACACUACCUUCUGGCUUUACACCUGGCCACAACCUUUGGAACCUGACCCCAUGGCUCCUUGGACAAAUGACCAAUCUCCAGGAAAACAACUUCCUGCCAAAGUUCCUACUAAACAAGAUGACGCGGGGUGGAGCCUCUUCACCCACUUAGGGUUCUCUACACAAAUGGUGUAGGAAACAAUGCCAAGUAACCCCCCUCAACCGCCGUAAAAGAAACUCCCUCUCAGCAGCUACUCUCUCUUCCCCGAAGAAGCAGUGAUCUCCCUGCUACUUCCUUGAAGCAUACCUCAGUAAACUCUUUUUGCCU